rnacentral:rRNA from 1 species
UAACGGCGAGUGAAGCGGCAAUAGCUCAAAUUUGAAAGCUGGCCCCUUUGGGGUCCGCGUUGUAAUUUGUAGAGGAUGAUUCGGCGAGGGCUCCCGUCUAAGUCCCCUGGAACGGGGCGUCAUAGAGGGUGAGAAUCCCGUAUGUGAUGGGUUGCCUUAGCCAUGUGAAUCUCCUUCGACGAGUCGAGUUGUUUGGGAAUGCAGCUCUAAAUGGGAGGUAAAUUUCUUCUAAAGCUAAAUACCGGCCAGAGACCGAUAGCGCACAAGUAGAGUGAUCGAAAGAUGAAAAGCACUUUGGAAAGAGAGUUAAAAAGUACGUGAAAUUGUUGAAAGGGAAGCGCUUGCAGCCAGACUUGUCCGCAGUUGCUCAGCCGGUCUCCUGACCGGCGUACUCUUCUGCGGCCAGGCCAGCAUCAGUUCGGGCGGUCGGAUAAAGACCUCGGGAAUGUAGCUCCUCUCGGGGAGUGUUAUAGCCCGGGGUGGAAUGCGGCCAGCCUGGACUGAGGAUCUCGCUUCGGCUAGGAUGCUGGCGUAAUGGCUGUAAGCGGCCCGUCUUGAAACACGGACCAAGGAGUCUAACAUCUAUGCGAGUGUUUGGGUGUCAAACCCAUACGCGUAAUGAAAGUGAACGGAGGUGGGAACCCUCACGGGUGCACCAUCGACCGAUCCUGAUGUCUUCGGAUGGAUUUGAGUAUGAGCAUAGCUGUUGGGACCCGAAAGAUGGUGAACUAUGCCUGAAUAGGGUGAAGCCAGAGGAAACUCUGGUGGAGGCUCGCAGCGGUUCUGACGUGCAAAUCGAUCGUCAAAUUUGGGUAUAGGGGC